GACAGAGGCCUCGAGCGUUAGGCGGAAUCACUGGGCUUAAAGCGUGUGUAGGCGGAUCGUUAAGUACCUUGUGAAAUCCCACGGCUCAACCGUGGAACGGCUGGGUAUACUGGCGGUCUUGGGCCAUUCAGGGGCGACUGGAACAAGCGGUGGAGCGGUGAAAUGCGUAGAUAUCGCUUGGAACGCCGAAGGUGAAAACAGGUCGCUGGGGAUGUGCCGACGCUGAGACACGAAAGUCAGGGGAGCAAACGGG
rnacentral:rRNA from 1 species